AGUGAACGCUGGCGGUUGGCCUAACACAUGCAAGUCGAACGGCAGCACAGUAAGAGCUUGCUCUUACGGGUGGCGAGUGGCGGACGGGUGAGGAAUACAUCGGAAUCUACUUUUUCGUGGGGGAUAACGUAGGGAAACUUACGCUAAUACCGCAUACGACCUACGGGUGAAAGCAGGGGAUCUUCGGACCUUGCGCGAUUGAAUGAGCCGAUGUCGGAUUAGCUAGUUGGCGGGGUAAAGGCCCACCAAGGCGACGAUCCGUAGCUGGUCUGAGAGGAUGAUCAGCCACACUGGAACUGAGACACGGUCCAGACUCCUACGGGAGGCAGCAGUGGGGAAUAUUGGACAAUGGGCACAAGCCUGAUCCAGCCAUACCGCGUGGGUGAAGAAGGCCUUCGGGUUGUAAAGCCCUUUUGUUGGGAAAGAAAAGCAGCAGGUUAAUACCCCGCUGUUCUGACGGUACCCAAAGAAUAAGCACCGGCUAACUUCGUG
rnacentral:rRNA from 1 species